rnacentral:snRNA from 1 species
GGAUAUUUACAAACAGAUCAGACCAGGCAGCCCUUCCGCGCUUGGUCAAAGAGGACGACCAUCCCCGAUAGAGGAGGACCGGUCUUGGGUCAAGGGUGUAGGAGUAGCUGCGCUCCCCUGCUAGAGCCUCCAGAUAAGCUCUCAAGGUCUAUAAUAACCAGUGCUGUACAGGGCGCUUCAGCAUUUCUAAAUACUUGAAAAAAUGAAAUUU